rnacentral:snRNA from 1 species
GGAUGCGAGGGCAGUCUGGUUGUGACAUCGGUCACCCCGCUGAUCACCUGGGUUGAAUCAGCAGACCUGGCUGGCUGGGCGGGUGUCCCCUUCCUUCCUUCCUGCUUCAUGUGUGUCCCUCCCCAAAUUGCCCCCUCUGUUGAAGAAGACAGCCGUCCCCAGACGAGGAGGACCAGCCUUUGGUCAAGAAUAUGCUAGUAGCUGUGUCUCCUGCUAGAACCUCCAAACAAGCUCGCAGAACGUCAGGGUGCAACCUCAGGGUGUUUUGCCUUUUUUUUUUAAUAAGCCAGUUUUAUUUGUUUAUUUUG